AUGUUCGCUUUGACAGCUCAUAAACUAAAAUUGGAAUGACACAGAAAAGUUUAGCAUGGUCCCUGUGCAAGGAUGACAUGCAAAUUCAUAAAGUCUUCCAUAUUAAA
rnacentral:snRNA from 1 species